CGGCCAUCUCCGGGGCUUCCUGGGCCUUAGCCAUCUCUGGGGCUCCCUGGGCCUCGCGCUGCCAUCUCUGGGACUCCCUGGGCCUCCUGUAGCCAUAUCCGGGGGUUCCUCAGGCCUCGCCCAGUCUACCUACCUGACCCACCCAUCCGCAACCUCAGCUGGCUGGUUAAGCCACCACAUGGCAUGCCAGCUCUCCUUACCACAUGGCAGCUGCAGUACAGUGAGCUGUGGGCCUUGAGCAGCACCCCCCCCCCCAAAGUACCUCCACAUGCUCGAGCAGCCACUCCUGGCCACCACCACAUGUGGAGGUCUGUUUCCUUUGGGAGGAUCGGGGUGCGGCAGGGGUGCACCGCUGCUGCACACCUAAAGCCACCCAUUUCCUUUGGGAGGAUCAGGGUGGGGUGGGAGUGCACCACCGCCACCCAAGAGAAGCAAGGGGCAGCAGAGGGGCUCAGAAAGGGAGGGGCUGCUCAGUUUCUUCUUCUCCCACUGCCCGCUCAUGUGUGUGUGUGUGUGUGUGUGUGGGAGAGAAAGAGAGAGAAAGAGAGAGGGA